GCCCCCGUAGCUCAGUGGAUAGAGCGCGGGUUUCCUAAACCCGGUGCGAAGGUUCGAUUCCUUCCGGGGGCACCA
rnacentral:tRNA from 1 species